AUUGAACGCUGGCGGCAUGCCUUACACAUGCAAGUCGAACGGUAACAGGUCUUCGGAUGCUGACGAGUGGCGAACGGGUGAGUAAUACAUCGGAACGUGCCUAGUAGUGGGGGAUAACUACUCGAAAGAGUGGCUAAUACCGCAUGAGAUCUACGGAUGAAAGCAGGGGAUCGCAAGACCUUGUGCUACUAGAGCGGCCGAUGGCAGAUUAGGUAGUUGGUGGGAUAAAAGCUUACCAAGCCGACGAUCUGUAGCUGGUCUGAGAGGACGAUCAGCCACACUGAGACUGGGACACGGCCCGGACUCCUACGGGAGGCAGCGGUGGGUAAUUUUGGACAAUGGGCGCAAGCCUGAUCCAGCAAUGCCGCGUGCAGGAUGAAGGCCUUCGGGUUGUAAACUGGUUUUGUACGGAACGAAAAGCCCCGGGUUAAUACCCUGGGGUCAUGACGGUACCGUAAGAAUAAGCACCGGCUAACUACGUGCCAGCAGCCGCCGUAA
rnacentral:rRNA from 1 species